CUUCAAUUCUUUCUCCUUUUCCCUCAUCAUUCUCUCUCCUCUCUCUCGGAUCUCUUUCUCCCACCAGACCCAUCGAAGCUUCGACCACGCGGGUCCAAGCCCUCACACGACACCAGAGGCAAACGACAACACCAGAGGCCAGCUCUUUGUCUCCUCUUCCCUGUGUGCAGCCAAGCCUUCUUCUUCCCUGCGUGAGACCAGCUAGCUUCGGCUGGUUCAGCAAUGACAGUUUCGAUCUAAGAACAUUGAGGCAUUGCCUUGUGGUAAAUUGCAGGUGCUUGGGGCAUUGCAUUAGCUAUGCAGUUGUAGCUUCUGUGCUAUUGGGGGCUGCUGUUUCUCGUCAUUUUCAAUUUCAAACCCAUUAGCUGCAAGGAGAAAUUCCUUACAGAGCACUGUUUUCCCCUUCGAGAGGGGUUUCGUAGGAAGGAACAGAACAGAUCAUCAAGCUCAUUUGAAGGUUGUGGCUCUAGCAUGAAACGCAGUAGUAGUGUCGAAGCUGGUCCUCUUGGUGAUGUUAUUGCUUGUUUUUGCUAAACAUAUUGACUGUCGUUUCAGAGAAACCAUUUUGGUAUUCUAUUUUCUGCUAUUAGAAUUUAUUUUCGUAUAAUUAAUGUCUAUAAUAUAGUUUUUAUGGAUUAAUUUCAUAUUUUCUUUAUGUUGAAUUUGGGAGUAUAAAAUUAAACUCGUAUAAAAAAUAUCGAAGGAAUAUUAUAAGAAGUAUUUAAUUAUUCGAAAAGGAAAAGUACAAUCAAAACAGUGAUUUGCAAUGCAUUGAUCGUGUUGAAGACAGUCUAGUCGUCUUCUCCCUCGUCUCGAGUAGAGCUGGGUUCCUCCUUCUGGGGAUUCGAAUUUUUUGUAGUUCUGGUAAGGAUUGAGGACUGAGGAUGAGGGGUAUCAACAAAGCAGGGUAGGCCUAGGCAGUAUCAGUGGGACUCAACGCCGCUCUAGCAGGCAUAUCCACAAAUCUUCCUCUCAGUAAUACUGUUCAACAUGACAAUGUGGGGAUGGUGUGUCAACAACCUUAAAGCUCUCUCAUCUCUUCAAGGUACGGUGACCAAUUUCGCUACUAAUUUCCUCACUUCUGGUCUAGCUGGAUACUUUUUGUUUCAAGAACCAUUAUCAUUUCAGAAAAUUCUUCGAUGAAAUGUCUCAAAGAGACAUUGAGUUGGAGAUAAAGAAACAUUUUAGGAUAAGCAACAAUAAGAGGCAGAGAAAGAUAAAAGAUGUUGAAGAGGGAAGAAGUUGAACUGAAAAGGCAACAAUUUCUUUUGAUGGCUCUCUUGAUAUGAUAAUAUUUUCUAUUUACUAAAGGAAUUUUACCCCUAUCAAUAUCAGUCUUUGUAGACUCCAAGCUUCGGCACUUCGCAAUCGUCUCGUCUUUUUUGCUGUGUUAAAAUGGUUGUCUCACUCGACGAGAAGAAGAAUUUUACUCUAAAAAAGUCAGAGGAGGCUUUCACUGCUGCUAAGGAGUUGAUGCCUGGAGGUGUAAAUUCCCCUGUUCGUGCUUUUAAAUCUGUUGGCGGACAACCUAUUGUCAUUGAUUCUGUCAAGGGCUCUCACAUGCGGGAUAUUGAUGGCAAUGAGUACAUUGAUUAUGUUGGUUCAUGGGGACCUGCAAUUAUUGGUAAUGCAGAAGAUGAGAACAAUAUAUUCACAGCUAGAUCAACUUAUAUCAAAGAGAAAAUUUAAGUUCACAAGUUUAUGGAUUCAAUUCAAGAGAUGGAAGUCACACUUGGAAAAGCUAUAAGAUUGGGACGAUAUUCAAUAUGCAAAGCGGUGCUAUAUCCUCCUUGGAAGGCAUUGGGGGCAUAACUUCAGGCCGAGGGCAACCACGAUUCAUCAAUAACUAACGGAGGUUCUUCAGAAAGGCAGGAAGAAGAUAGUUUUCUCAACAUGAAACAAGCAAUGUUCUGAGGGCUUUAAGGACAGGCAAUUCAUGCUCUUAAAGACGAAAUUAGGGAAAUAAAUCAGCGUCUUAUUGACAUUGUUAUUGAUAUUAGCGAGGAAUCAAGUGUUGUAGCAGCUGCUGCUGAAGGAGGUGAAGGGACCAUUGUCAAGUGGAUUGAGCUUGGAAGUGGAUUUAUUUUCCUUAAGUUUUGUAAGGUCUUACUGUUCAUUCGAUCCAAUAGGGUAGCUGGAUGCCUAAUUGCCAAACCAAUAGAGAAGGCAUUCAAAGUCAUCUCAAAUUCAGCAGACAAUGAUGUUAUUAACACAAAAGAACAAAGAACCAAACCAACCAUCCUCCAAUUUGGGGAUAUUAGUUUUCAGAGGGAGACAGUGAAAAGAUCUCAUUCUGCUAGUAAUACUAACCUGUUGGAUGGAGACCUUGGUAGUGCAGUUGUUUGCGAGGAGGUAGUAGUGCUGGCUGUCUGUGGUAUUAGAGCAAUUUUGGUGUCUCCUGUCAACAGAAGAAAAUGAAUAGCCACUCAUUUGCUGGAUGAAGUGAGCUAUCACCCAAUACCAGUUGUGUUCUCUGAGGCAAAGGGAUCAUGUAUAUGGGAUCCUGAAGGCAAAUGGCAUCUAGACUUUCUCUCUGCUUAUUCUGCAGUUAAUCAGUGUUGCUGCCUCUUCAAUGUCUGCACUAAAGCAGCCAAUCGUUCGAGUUCAGGCUAUCAUUGCUAAAGGUGUACCGAGUCAGAUGCUAAGCAAUUGAUUGUGGCUAUCAUUGCAUUAUUUUCUUAUGAUCGAGUUGUGGCUAUCAUUGCAUUAUUUGCUUCUAAAAAUUUGAGAAACUUCAUGUUUCAAAAACUAUUAGUACUAAAGAAUUAUGUCAACAUGUAAUAAGAAGAAUCACUAUAACAUAUAUGUUGUGUAUGUCUCAUAAUGUGGUUAUCUAGGCUAUCAAAAAGUGGUUAAAAUAGCUAGUGACCAUAAUUGUUUUAACAAGAUUCCUCAAGUUCACUUACUUUGGUUCAGCUCCAGAGUUAGUUAAGUUGAUUUUUUAGUUUUGUUUUCGGGUUGGUUCUUUUGUAUUUUGGUGCACGUAUAUAAGUGAACGUUGCAUCAUUAUUUAUGUACAUAGAUUUAGAGAGCAUUAAGAGAAAAAGAAGAGAGAAAGAGAGAGUUCAGUGAGUUGUAGAGGUUGGAGUUAAAGUGAGAGCAUUAUUUAUGUACACUGUUGUUGAUGACAGUGUUGAAUGUUUUAAACUAAUUUGUGGAUUGUUAAUACAAUGUUGA